rnacentral:rRNA from 1 species
GAUGAACGCUGGCGGCGUGCCUAAUACAUGCAAGUCGAGCGAACAGACGAGGAGCUUGCUCCUCUGACGUUAGCGGCGGACGGGUGAGUAACACGUGGAUAACCUACCUAUAAGACUGGGAUAACUUCGGGAAACCGGAGCUAAUACCGGAUAAUAUAUUGAACCGCAUGGUUCAAUAGUGAAAGACGGUUUUGCUGUCACUUAUAGAUGGUUACGCGCCGCAUUAGCUAGUUGGUAAGGUAACGGCUUACCAAGGCAACGAUGCGUAGCCGACCUGAGAGGGUGAUCGGCCACACUGGAACUGAGACACGGUCCAGACUCCUACGGGAGGCAGCAGUAGGGAAUCUUCCGCAAUGGGCGAAAGCCUGACGGAGCAACGCCGCGUGAGUGAUGAAGGUCUUCGGAUCGUAAAACUCUGUUAUUAGGGAAGAACAAAUGUGUAAGUAACUAUGCACGUCUUGACGGUACCUAAUCAGAAAGCCACGGCUAACUACGUG